rnacentral:rRNA from 1 species
CGGAGGUGCAAGCGUUAUCCGGAUUCACUGGGUUUAAAGGGUGUGUAGGCGGGUAUUUAAGUCAGUGGUGAAAUCCUACAGCUUAACUGUAGAACUGCCAUUGAUACUAUUUAUCUUGAAUAUUGUUGAGGUAGGCGGAAUACAUCAUGUAGCGGUGAAAUGCUUAGAUAUGAUGUAGAACACCGAUUGCGAAGGCAGCUUACUAAGCAAAUAUUGACGCUGAGGCACGAAAGCGUGGGGAUCAAACAGGAUUAGAUACCCUGGUAGUCCACGCCCUAAACGAUGAUUACUCGACGUGCGCGAUAUACAGUGCGCGUCUGAGCGAAAGCAUUAAGUAAUCCACCUGGGAAGUACGUCCGCAAGGAUG